rnacentral:misc_RNA from 1 species
GGUGGUGGUGCUGCUGGUGCU